rnacentral:rRNA from 1 species
AACGAACGCUGGCGGCAUGCCUAACACAUGCAAGUCGAACGAGACCUUCGGGUCUUGUGGCGCCCGGGUGCGUAACGCGUGGGAACCUGCCCUUAGGGUCGGAAUAACUCCCCGAAAGGGGUGCUAACACCGGAUAAUGUCUUCGGCCCAAGGAUUUAUUGCCAUUGGAUGGUCCCGCGUUGGAUUAGCUUGUUGUUAUGGUAAAAGCCUACCACGGCGACGAUCCGUAGCUGGUCUGAGAGGCUGAUCAGCCACACUGGGACUGAGACACGGCCGAGACUCCUACGGGAGGCAGCAGUGGGGAAUAUUGGACAAUGGGCGAAAGCCUGAUCCAGCAAUGCCGGGUGAAUGAUGAAGGCCUUAGAGAUGUAAAGCGCUUUUACCCGGGAUGAUAAUGACAGUACCGGGAGAAUAAGCUCCGGCUAACUCCGUG